rnacentral:sRNA from 1 species
AGUACUGUGGUAACAAUGAAACAUAACUCUGGCCUAAACCCAACUGAACAUGUUCUUUCAUAAUAGGUAUUGGGGGGUAAGGGGUGAAUCUUAACUUUAGUGAUGACUUUUGUGAAAUGAACUUGAUUAAUAAUUGGAAUUUGAUCACUUCCUGGCUUGAAUGAAGCUGGUAAAUUAAUCUGAGGCCAAGCAAUAAAUGGCCCAGAUUAUUCAUCAGCAUGGCUACCUGCUAAUGAAUCAUUGUGGCAGGCCACAACUGUUCCAUCUAACCAUCGAAAUAACCAUAUCAGGAGACACAGUAUAGCUUCUGACAGUGGAGACACUGGCAUUGGAACUUCCUGUUCUGAUAGCGUGGAAGAUCAUUCAACUUCAAGUGGCACAUUAUCUUUUAAGCCUAGUCAAUCAUUGAUUACUCUUCCUACUGCCCAUGUGAUGCCGUCUAAUUCCAGCGCUUCAAUUUCCAAACAUAGGGAAUCAUUGACACCAGAUGGCUCAAAAUGGAGUACAAGCCUCAUGCAAACAUUGGGAAAUCACAGUAGGGGGGAGCAGGACUCUUCACUAGACAUGAAGGACUUCCGGCCACUUCGGAAAUGGUCAUCUUUAUCCAAACUCACUGCCCC